rnacentral:rRNA from 1 species
AGAGGUAGGCGGAAUUCCCGGUGUAGCGGUGGAAUGCGUAGAUAUCGGGAGGAACACCAGUGGCGAAGGCGGCCUACUGGGCACCAACUGACGCUGAGGCUCGAAAGUGUGGGUAGCAAACAGGAUUAGAUACCCUGGUAGUCCACACCGUAAACGAUGAUUACUAGGUGUUGGAGGAUUGACCCCUUCAGUGCCGCAGUUAACACAAUAAGUAAUCCACCUGGGGAGUACGACCGCAAGGUUGAAACUCAAAGGAAUUGACGGGGGCCCGCACAAGCAGUGGAGUAUGUGGUUUAAUUCGACGCAACGCGAAGAACCUUACCAAGUCUUGACAUCCCUUGACGAUGCUGGAAACAGUAUUUCUCUUCGGAGCAAGGAGACAGGUGGUGCAUGGUUGUCGUCAGCUCGUGUCGUGAGAUGUUGGGUUAAGUCCCGCAACGAGCGCAACCCUUAUGGUCAGUUACUACGCAAGAGGACUCUGGCCAGACUGCCGUUGACAAAACGGAGGAAGGUGGGGAUGACGUCAAAUCAUCAUGCCCUUUAUGACUUGGGCUACACACGUACUACAAUGGCGUUAAACAAAGAGAAGCAAGACCGCGAGGUGGAGCAAAACUCAGAAACAACGUCCCAGUUCGGACUGCAGGCUGCAACUCGCCUGCACGAAGUCGGAAUUGCUAGUAAUCGUGGAUCAGCAUGCCACGGUGAAUACGUUCCCGGGCCUUGUACACACCGCCCGUCACACCAUGAGAGCCGGGGGGACCCGAAGUCGGUAGUCUAACCGCAAGGAGGACGCCGCCGAAGGUAAAACUGGUGAUUGGGGUGAAGUCGUAACAAGGUAGCCGUAGGAGAACCUGCGGCUGGAUCACCUCCUUU